CUUCGAAGGAACUAACGGUAAGAAAUGCCUGGUAACACAGCGGUGGUAGGAUUUGUGUCUCCCAAAGCCAGGCCAUCAGAGUUUCUCACAGUGCUGUUAAUGCGCCCGCACCACACCGCGCAUGCGUGCAAUCCCGCAUCAUAAAUAACGGAUUUACAAGCUUAACUCCGACUCAGCAAUAGCACACGUGUGGAACGCGGCUGAGUGACUGUCACCAUGAGACCCUUAGCUCUGGCCUUGGAGGUUUCCUCAACCUGAGGCUGGGGCUUUGCAGGGUGGGCUGAAGAAAGCCUCUCUGCCUGGGCCUGACGUCUUGCCUAAUGAGCAGAAACACCCUUUUGGACUUAAGGAUCCUGAGCCCCCUGGCCACAAAUCACGAAGCAAAAGAAAUCAAGCAUUAAGGUUUUCCCCAGAUACUUAUUGACCGGAAUGGACUGGAAAUGUCCAGUCUACUAGCAAACAUCAAAGACAUCAGCAGCUGCAGACCAGUCCACUCAGCAGACAGCAUGCAUGAAUCAACAAGAGCAGUUCAAUCCAGAAGAAACCCCAAGGCUUGACAAUAGGCCCAAGUCAGCAGAUGCAGCAAGAAGCCACAGGCACCUCACUUCACGAGAAGUUUCUCUCUAUGAAGUCACUACACUCGAAGCUCAGCAACAUAAUGCCCCAGGAACAUUUGAAGUACCUAUUUAAUGAGAAGACUUCUGGAGAAGCCUAGGCACUCUGCUGGGCACAAGGGUUUCUCCAUAUUCAUACCAGAUGGGGAAGCAGGAAAAUGAACUCCAGAGAGGAGGAGACAAGAAGCACCAUCUCUGCAGACAGAGCCCUUCCUAAAGUGGAAGAUUCUAGAAGGCUGACCUCCGGGGCCAAGUCUGGACUGCGCAGGGUAGCCUGGGGAAGCUCUGCCGAACAACAAUAACAUGCACGGUCUGCCCAAGGCAUGUGGAGUGCAAGGCACUCUGAAAAUUGGGCUCAAAACAACUUCUUUAUUUGAGACAAAAAGCCCUUUGUGUGGGUCUUCCUCCCUCAGCCUACAGAGGAUUCGUGUUCAGUGAGGCAGCAGCUCCUGUCUCCCCAGAGCUGCCUCAGGUAGAGACACUGCCUGACUGCCAGUGGCCAUGCAUCUGUGACCAUUACACGGGCCUAAGUGGGUUUGGGAGCUUUACCUUAGGAAUUAAGUAAGAAAAAUGAAGGCCCAAGCAGGGCACAGUGUAGCUCAGACAAUUUUGUCUUCUCUUGAUGUGAAUGAGACCUAAAUUGGGAAGUCUUUGGCCGAUGGCGAGGGCAGAUAAAUGUUAUGGAUUUGAUGUAAUCCCAGACCUCAGACUUGAAACUCAGCUUGACCCUUCCCUUUGAGCACAGGGAAGGAAGCAGAGGAGGGAGAUCGGCUCAACCAUAUGUCAAGUCGGGAGAGAAAAUGACAGCCAGAGCAAGGUGGAGAUGUGCAGAGUCAGGGGUGGAGACAACUAAAGAGAAGUCUGCAAAGUUACAUAGAUACAAUGUGUCCUUCAGGAGACAAACAGGCGGCUGUGAGAAGUGAGGGAAGAUACUUCAUGAUGGGAUCUGUGGAGUGGCACUGUGGAGCGGGACUGGAGGCGUCUGCUGCUCAGAAAUCCAAAUACCCACAAGGCCUGGGAUUGAGUGUGCAGCAGUGGCAAGCUGGACUCAUGUGCACCAAGUGCUGGGAAAAGGUGUCAGUGGCAUGGAGGCAGGAGAGUUCCCACGAGCAGCUCAGAAUUGUUUAGCUAGCACUUGGUUUGCAGAAAGUGAAGUGUCUGUGUCCUUUCAAGGGGCUGGUAUCAUAAAUACCCUGGUCACAUGUACAGUUGCUGUCUCCCUGGGCCAGUCUCAUGGAGGAGGCGUGUGUGUGUGUGUAUGUGUGUGUGUGUGUGUGUGUGUGUGUGUGUGUGUGUGUGUGUGUGUGUGUGUGUGAAUAUUCCUUUUGUGAGCACUUACCUCCAGCCUUACCUGUGUGAAAACCUUUUCCCUGCUUUAGAGAUGGCAAUCCUGAAUUGCUGAGGUUGAGGUAUUUGCUCGAGGCCACCCAACUAGUAAAUAGUAGACUUGAGCUGCAGCUCAGUGGUCUCACAGAAAUACCUGACUAUUCCACUCUAACACAUGGCUCCUGCUGCCUCCUGCAACUGGCCAGAACAGGUUAGUGCUGGGCUCCUGUGUUCUGCAGGCUCCCAAGAGCUCCUGGCAUGCCUGCCAGACCAAUGUGUGGAUCUGCCUUUUCCUGCACAGAGUGGACAACUGGCACUGAAUACCCGUCCUCCACUUGCUCCCAGAAGUGAGAAUUACCCAAGGUUGUCCCAGCAUUCUUAGCAGGUAAAGGCAGGAAUGUGGUGGACAGUCAAGAUGUCUACCUCUCAGUCUGAUAGUUUCCUGGUCCCUUGUCCUCACCCUUCCAUUUCCACAGGCAGCGCACAUUUUCAUAAGCCUCCUGCUGUCUUCUCUUUUUGCUCUAUUUUCCUUCUUGCCCCUGGGGUUGUAUGACUUGUAUGGUUCUUCUGUGCUCUAUCGUCUAGACACUUUAGCAUCACGUAAGGGGAAAGAAUGGACCACCAGCUCACCCUUACUAAGUCCCUUCUGAGCCUCUGCAUCUGUCAGGGCUUUCCAGAGAAGCAGGACAAGAAGCGACAGGUCCCAGCCCCCAAGGGUAGGUUGGCAGGCUCUGUCUCUGUGUCUCUCUGUUCCUGUCUGUCUCUCUGUCUUUGUCUCUGUAUGUCUCUCUGUCUUUGUCUCUGUCUGUCUCUCUGUCUUUGUCUGUCUGUCUCUCUGUCUUUGUCUCUGUCUGUCUCUCUGUCUUUGUCUCUGUCUGUCUCUCUGUCUUUGUCUCUGUCUGUCUCUCUGUCUUUGUCUGUCUGUCUCUCUGUCUUUGUCUCUGUCUGUCUCUCUGUCUUUGUCUCUGUCUGUCUCUCUGUCUUUGUCUCUGUCUGUCUCUCUGUCUUUGUCUCUGUCUCUGUGUCUCUCUGUUCCUGUCUGUCUCUCUGUCUUUGUCCCUGUCUAUCUCUCUGUCUUUGUCUCUGUCUGUCUCUCUGUCUUUGUCUCUGUCUCUCUGUCUUUGUCUCUGUCUCUGUGUCUCUCUGUUCCUGUCUGUCUCUCUGUCUUUGUCCCUGUCUGUCUCUCUGUCUUUGUCUCUGUCUGUCUUUCUGUCUUUGUCUCUGUUUUUCUGUCUCUCUGUGUCUCUCUGUCUCUGUCUGUGUAGGAACGAGGGGCCGAUUUUUUUCUUUUCCAAUGAAGCCUUUGAACCUCUAUAGCCUUUGUGCUGGCUGGAUGAAGCCUGUCCAGUAUGGAGGAUGGUUUCUUUUUACUUAAAAUGAGCUGGGUACAGGCAUCAGUACACCGCAAACAUCUAUAAGCCUUGCUGGCUGACUAACAAACAGGGUAGCCCAGUAGUAUACCUGCCAUGCUGCUGUUCAGCUCUCCCAGCCUCCGUGGCUCUGGUCCUCUCAAGUUGUCCCUCCUUUGCCUGGUCUUUCCUUUCCUUUACCUCUGUAAGCUCAAUCACUGGUACUUUGUUCAUGAUAGAAGCUGCCACUCCAGCCAUCUUUACUUCCCUGACAUGGCUCGAUGCACAGCUGUCCAAUUUGUGUUUCCAGAAGCCAUUGAACAUGACUGUGGAACGACCAGCCUCUACUUUAUUUCUCCCCUAACCUGUCCACAUUGCUGAGUCCUGUCUACACUGCUGAGUCCUGUCUACAUUGCUGAGUCCUGUCUUUCUACACUGCUGAGUCCUGUCUGUCCACACUGCUGAGUCCUGUCUGUCCACAGUGCUGAGUCCUGUCUGUCCAUAGUGCUGAGUCCUGUCUGUCUACACUGCUGAGUCCUGUUUGUCCACACUGCUGAGUCCUGUCCACACUGCUUAGUCGUAUCCACACUGCUUAGUCUUGUCCACACUGCUAAGUCCCACCUUAUUUGUUCACUUUGUCACCUCAACCUGAAACCUAGCAGCCCCCUCCUCUCAUUACCCCCUCACAGAGAUCGUCCCCCAUUUCUCCCUCCUCCAUUGUGAAGGGGGAGCCCCCCUCUAGGUGUCACUCCCCUCAUUACCCCCACUCCACCCAGCAAAUCAAGUCACUGAGGCCAGAUAAGGUAGCCCAGUUAGGGGAAUGGGAUCUAUAGGCAGGCAACAGAUUCAGGGACAUCAGGGUUUUCAAUGCUGUUGAACUGGUUAGCUGGCUUUCUCAUGGAGACAGUUCCUGCGUGAGAGCAGACAAGGGACCAUGAUUUCAGGACACAAGGACACAGGCUGCAGAAAAGAAUCUUCUUUCAGUCCAGAGGCUGGAAGACCAUGAUCAUAGUGCCCACAGCUGGUUUCUCCUGAGACCUCUCUCAAGGCUUGUGGAAGGCCCUCUUCUUGUUGACCUUGCAGGGCCUCUGUAAUGAAAACGCACCAGUGUCUCUCUUCCUAUCAGAACACCGCCAUUACUGUUAAAGUUCCAUCCUAAAGCCUUCAUUUCAACUUCAUCAUCAAACAGCAAUUAUCCAGAUAGUUAUGUUGUGAGGAUGUGAAGUUGCUGGUGACAACGCAUAAGGACCUUCUGAGGGAUACAGAUCAGCCCAUAGAACUUAGUCUUCUACUACCACAUUGCCAGUGACUUCCCCCACUUCAAGUGUGACAACCAUCAGAACUUGCUAGGCAUUGUUGAAUGUCCCUGGGAGCAAAACAGCCCAGAUCAAAACAAUAGGAGGAGUUUGAAUGCUGACUGCACAUUGAAGUUACUAGAGAAAUUAGACCCAAAUCCCCAAAAGGACCGCAGAGACUCUGAUUCAAAUGAAUUUGGGGUAAAGAUAUUUUGUUAAAGUGUUUCCAAAGUUUCUAACUUGUAGAAAUCCAGGGAGUGCGCCAGUGAAUAAGACAGAUAUUAAGCAACAAAUUUUAUGAUUAACAUUUUCAAAUGGGUCAUAUAUAUUAUUUUGCAACAUAUUCUUUAAUAGUUACCUGGAACGUUUUUCCGCACCAUGAGAUAAUGUAUAAUAAAAUUUUUAAUGAGUGUUGAAAAUGUUGUAGGUUAUGUAAUCAAGGUCCUGGUAUAUAUCCUAGAGAAAGAAGACUCCUCAAGUGGCCCAGGAAGGCACAGUCUUCAGAAGGAGCCUGUCUUUCAAGACUGUGGUCAGUUUCUUAGGCUAAAGUUUAAAAGGUGGGAACCAGAGUCAAAAGGGGGAGUGUGGGCUGACAAGGUGGCGCAGUGAGUAAAGGCACUUGCGGCUCCAGCCUGAAGAUCUGAGUUCACUACUCAAAACCCAUAGAAAGGGGAAAGGAGAGAGCUAUGUCCUUAAAGUUGUCCUUGCCCUCCACAUGUCCUCUGUGGCAUACCCACCCACCCACCCACAUCAUUCAACCACUAAAUAAUGAUAACAAAAUGAGGUUUUAAAAGGCUAUACAUAUUUUAUGGGUUUUGAAGCCUAUUCCAGUGUAGUUACUCAGAACUGUUGUAUCAAUCUGUAGUUUAAUCUUUGAGUAUUUCAGUUUUUGAGAUUACAUGAGUGUGGUACCUUGUCUAAACUUGAAUUUCCUUGGUUAUUAAAACUGAAUGUUCCCUUAAUCACUGCAUUACUUGCUCUUCACCCUUUGUGGAUUGUUGGCUUGUGACAUUUGUUCUUUCGUGAAACAAUACUUUAAUUUUUCUUACAGAUUUGUUAGAGCUUGUUGUGAGGAUAUAAUUAUCUGUUGCAGGUUGUAGAUGGGUUUUAUGCAGUUAUUAUUCCUCUUUACUAUUUAGAUGGAUUUGUUUCUAGAAGUAUCCUUGAGUGUGGUUCCCCCCCAAUUCCCCGCAUCUCUCCUCUCACACCCCCACUCCUCCCUCCCUUCCUUUCCAUUUUAUUCUAGGAAACAUCUUCAUAAACUUUUUUAUUCCAUGAUGAGAUCAACAUUUGUCCAUAUUUUAUUUUAUUAUUUUUUAAAAAUUAAUUUUUAAAAAAUGUACAGGUGCCCAGAGGCCAGAGGAACUGACUCUUCGAGGAGCUGGCGUGACAGGCAGCUGAGAGUCACCUCAUGUGGGUGCUAGGAGCUGAAUUCAAGCCCUCUGGAAGAGCAGUACAUGCUCUUAGCCCCUGAGCCACCGCUCCAGCCCCUACACUUAUAUUAUUAUUAUUAUUAUUACUAUUAUUAAACAUUUGGUUUUCUACUCUGUUUAGAAUGACAUGUCACUAAGGACUGAAGUUGCAUUUUAUUCCAGACAGUUACACAGUUGAUCAGGAACUUAACUGUUUUAUUUUAUUCUGUAAAUUUGAAAUGCCACUUUUCUAGCCUAAAUUCUAAUCUGAUUGCUAGGCCUGUUUAGGUACUUUUUAAUUCUACCUAUUGACUGACUUACUAGUUUUACAAUUUGUUUAAGCAGUUGAGGUUCAAAUUCACUUUAUUCUUGAUCUUUUUCAAAAGAAUUUUUGAAUUCAAAACCUUUUUUUUUAAUUUUAAAAUUUUCAAUUGUUCAACAGCAAAAUAGAUUUGUGAGUGGAAGUCCAUCGACUCAGGUGGGACUUGCAGCUUCCCCACACUGACCCUCACCAUUCAGACGUGGGCUGGCCCGUCUGCACUUUCUCCAUGGUCCCUGCAAACCGGGAUAUUUUCCACGUGAACGUCCUGUAUGUAGUUCUUAGGAAUGGAACUGUUUCCGUGUGACACUCACUAGGAUGUACAUCCGUGCUUCUGUUCAGAAGGAGGACACUCUAGCUCUCUGCUGUGAAGUCGGAUUAUUCAUUUCAGCUCUUGGCUAUCCUCACUUCUCUCGUCGUUACAGGUUAUUCGAGUGAGGUUAACUUGGUUACCUUUGCCUCCCUUGAGUUCUUGUUUCUUCUCCUCUUUCUGAACUGGACAACUGUCUAGAAAAAACUUAUCUGCAGGAGAAGUAGUAAGCACUCUUUGGCUGACUGGUAAGUUUGGACCUUUUUAUCUGUUCUAAUAUGAGACCGGCCAAAGUUCCAACGGACAACCGAGUUCUCCUGACCUGCUCAGACUUUUGUUUUGAAAUCGUACAGAUUCACAUAACAAUCAUGGGAAUUCUCACUAAAGUUAUGUAAUUUGGAAAGUUUAAAAUAACAGUAGUAUGGCUUUGUUGUUUUGUUUGAGAGAAUCUUUCCAUUGAAAUGUCUUGGUUCAAUCAAUCUCUUAACAGUCUUUUUCAGUUUCUUCUGUGAAAUUCAUUUGUUCAGCUUCUGGGUAUAAUUUUGACAACUUAGACUUUCAUAAAAAAUGAUUUUCAGAAAUAUUUUUUAUUUGUCUAAAUAAAUGUACACUGUGCCUGUGGAUUACGUACCCUUUUUUACUCCAAAUUUUGAAUAUUUUUGUAUUAAGUUUAUUUAUGAAUUCUAUUCUUUUCUUUAUAAAUUCUUUGAUG
rnacentral:lncRNA from 1 species